rnacentral:lncRNA from 1 species
CCUCCCUUAUUUACUUGGAAAUAUUUUCAGAGACCAGCUAAAAAGCCUCAAACGGACAUUAAAUUUGGUUUUUCGACACAAGAUGCCAGACAUGUUUGCCUGAAUCAAAAACUAAAAACAAGGGGCACAAGUUCUACAUAAAAAGUCGAAGAAAAUAAGAUAAAACAUUCUAAAUGAAGAAAACGAGUAAUGAAAAAUAAAGGACAAAUAUAUUUCAGCGAGGUCAUCAGAUAGGAGCGAAAGACUAAAAGGUUUUGUAUAAUCACAGAGAUUAUCAGUUGAACUAUGCUUGUAAUCAUCAUAUGACCAAGUUUUUUCAAUCUAAAACAGAUCUAAUACACAAACAAUAAACAAAUUGGGGGAUCAAGAUCUUAUGCAAAUCAUAUAAAAACAGGGCCUCAGAAGGAAGGCAGUAGUGGUAAGUUUGUAAUCACAGCUUCAUCAUUCGUGACAAAUAUACCAGUUCUUUCAUCAAUGGCAACAGCAUCGAAAAGAGAUAAUGAAAAACUGACAGCCAAAAACAUAGCUUAAAGCAGAAACGGGCAAGAAAUUCAUAAAAGAUUCGGCCUCAUAGAGAAGAUUAGAUUUAUCAACACACAGAGUUUCAGACAUAUGCUUGUCUUUGAAUUUUUGUUUAAUCAUCGGCCGACCAACUAUCAUGACCAAAAAGAAAGAGUAGCAGAAAAUAAGAAAAAGGGCCUCGGAAUAUAUCAGGAUGGUCGUCAAGGCCUUUAAAGAGCCAGUUACGACGAACGAGACCUUUCAAGAUGAAAUCGUCAAUGCCCCUUAAUCAUUUUCAGCCGGAAAAAAAACAUAAAUAGAUGAAAUUCCUAAGGCGACAAUACUAAGUAAAAUGAACCCUAAACCACGAAAGAACCAGAUAUUGACAAACAGGAUGCCUUGGAGACUCUUUAUAAAGAGUGGCGGUGAAGGACAAUUAGGGUUUCAGGCGGUUUUAUAGGAGCUGGGGAGAACAGAAGAACGACCAAGCGUUUUAGGUUUACUCUUCUCUGUGCAAUUUACGGCCAAAGGCCUAAGGUACACAGAACAAACGGAAGCUUAUGUUGGGCUGGCUGGGAGGGUGAAAACUUAGCAGGUCCAAACUGACUAUGUUGGCAUCUGGGAGAUUGGGCUAAGUCCAGUAGAAAUUUGUUGCCCCAUCGACUCCAUUUCAGAUUUUUAUCAGCCUUCAGGUCGUUGAUCUUGUUAGAAAAUUAUUUUAAAAUUAGGGUUAGUGGAACAAAUUAAAAAUGAGGUGCAUUAUUUUAUGAUUAAAACUUUACUAGAAAUUAUUUUUUAACAAUAAUUUUCUUAACAUAAAAUAUUAAUAUAUUUAAAAUAAAUUGUGGAUAAAUAAAAAAUUGAUCUCAAAUAAUUUUUAAUUUACAUGUUUUUAUAAAACUUAAAAUUAUCUUUAUCUAUCUCACAUCGAAAAAAUAUAAGGUUUAAGCUUGUAUAAUAAGAAGUUCAAGAAUUAAAAAUAGACCUACAAAGUACCAAAAAGUUUCAUAAAAAAAAUGAUAUGAGUAAAAUGAACUUUAGGCUUAAGUCAUGUGUAUUUGCUUGCUUGACCUAUUUAAAGUUGAGGUUGGCUAGAUCUAACUUUGUUAUAUUUUUUAGUAUUAAAUAAAUCUAAGUCUUAUAUUAUGCAAAUUAUAUUUAAUUAAACUAGUAAUCAAUACUACAAAACUCAUUUUUACUUUUAAAUAAAACUACCAAAACAGGCCUAAAAGAAUAUUCUUUAAACAGAUCCUUAAAUCAAAAAAAAAAUUAGCAAAAAGAUUGCAAGAUAAAAGAGUCUUAGCCAAACAGACUAAAGUCUAUAAAUUUAUUUAAAUUAUACUAUCAAAUAAGAUAUAAAAUUUUAUAUUUAAACAUUAAAAUAAGCUUUUUAUUCUAAUUCUUUACUUUACUCAUUUCUUUUAGACUUCUUGGUUGAUCUUUUCAUGAAAUUAGAUUUUAGUUGAUUUCUUCAUGAAAUUUACUGCAUUGCGCUUGUUAAUAUGUUUUUCAGCAUAAAAAAAAUAUUUAAAACUUACUCUUAACAAAUCAUAUUAUUAGUUUAUUUUUUAUUUUAUUGUUAUAAUUAAAGUAUAUAAAACAUGAAUGUAUACCUUUAAAAUUCAACAAAACUAAGAUUUCAUAAUUUGGCAAAUGUAAUUUCAGCCGAACUAUAAAAUGUUAAAUGUAAUUCUCUCUCUUGGCUAGGAACCCAUCCUAUUCUCCAGUAUUCUGCAUAAUCAUGUGUUCUUCGGUUUGCAACAUUCCAAAUGAAGUUUCAUAAUCCUUGAGCUUUUUGAGAUGUCAUUGUUGCUUGAUGUUGUACGACCUCCAAGGUCGCCAUGUGUACAUUCCUAGCUUGAGGAAAGACCAUCAUUAGAACUCUGCCAGUGUGACAUUUCUUUUUCAUGCCAAGAUCGGACCUUCUCAUCCUCUAUCUCACUAUUAGUUUGUUGUCAUAGCUUUACAAGACGAGUCUAUUCCUUCAUGGCAAAUUGAUCAUCUUUUUCCAACUUCUUAUCAGCACCAUAGGUUAUUCUGAGAUCGUUUUCCAAAUCCUUCACUUCGUCCAAUUUCUCUUCUGCGUUCAAAAGCUGGAGGUGAUGUUCUUCUAAAUGGGUUUGUUUAUAAAAUAUAUAUAUUUUUAAAAAAAGAACAAGCUUGUUUUGAAGUGAUUAUUCGGAUGGGACUCAGAAUAUGGGUGGUGAUAUAUCAGGAUGGUCGGCAAGGCCUUUAAAGAGCCAAUUACGACGAACGAGACCAUUGAUACAAAUCAUCAUUGCCCCUCCCUUGUUUACUUGGAAAUAUUUUCAGAAAUCAGAUAAAAAGCCUCAAACGGACAUCACAUUUGGUAUUUCAACAAAAAAAGAUGCCAGACAUGCUUGUCUGAAUCAAAAUCUAAAAUCAAGGGGCACGAGUUCUACAUAAAAAGUCGCAGAAUUUAAGAUAAAACACUCAAAUUGAAGAGAACGGAUAAUAAAUGAAAAGGGAUAGAUAUAUUUCAACGAGGUCAUCAGAUAGGACCGAAAGACACCGAAAGACUAAAAGGUUUUGUAAUAAUCACAGAGAUUAUCAGUUUGUGAUCACAGCUUCAUCAUUCGUGACAAUAUACCAGUUCUUUCAUCAAUGGCAACAGCAUCGAAAAGAAAUUAUGAAAAACUGACAACCAAAAACAUAGCUUGAAGCAGAAACGGGCAAGAAAUUCAUAAAAGAUUCGGCCUCAUAGAGAAGAUUAGAUUUAUCAACACACAUAGUUUCAGACAUAUGCUUGUCUUUGAAUUUUUGUUUAAUCAUCGGCCGAACAACUUCCAAAACAAAAAGAAAAAUAAGAAAAAGGGACUCGGCCAGUGUGAAAUUUCUUUUUCAUGCCAAGAUCGGACCUUCUUAUCCUCUCUUUUUAACUUGUCUAUCUCAUAAUUAGUUUGUUGCCAUAGCUAUAAGACGAGACCAUUCCUUAAUUACUUGGAAAUUGAUAAUCUUUUAACAAAAUAUUAGCGCCAUAGGUUAUUCUGAGAUCUUUUUCCAAAUCCUCCACCUCCUCCAAUUUCUCUUCUGCAUUCACAAGCUGGAGGUGAUGUUCUUCUAAAUGGGUUUGUUUAUAAAAAACCAAAAAAGAACAAACUUUUUAAGAAGUCAUUAUUCGGAUGGGACUCAGAAUAUGGGUGGUGAUAUAUCAGGAUGGUCGGCAAGGCCUUUAAAGAGCCAAUUACGACGAACGAGACCAUUGAUACAAAUCAUCAUUGUCCCUCCCUUAUUUACUUGGAAAUAUUUUCAGAGACCAGCUAAAAAGCCUCAAACGGACAUUAAAUUUGGUUUUUCGACACAAGAUGCCAGACAUGUUUGCCUGAAUCAAAAACUAAAAACAAGGGGCACAAGUUCUACAUAAAAAGUCGAAGAAAAUAAGAUAAAACAUUCUAAAUGAAGAAAACGAGUAAUGAAAAAUAAAGGACAAAUAUAUUUCAGCGAGGUCAUCAGAUAGGAGCGAAAGACUAAAAGGUUUUGUAUAAUCACAGAGAUUAUCAGUUGAACUAUGCUUGUAAUCAUCAUAUGACCAAGUUUUUUCAAUCUAAAACAGAUCUAAUACACAAACAAUAAACAAAUUGGGGGAUCAAGAUCUUAUGCAAAUCAUAUAAAAACAGGGCC